UUUAUCUUCCUUCCCUUUGGACGCCACCAUACUUUAGUGUAUGAACACAGUGGGGUUCUAGUUUGGGAUAAUGCUUGAAAUAUUCCCUACAAAUGCGUAAGAAGCUGCCCUUGGGAGAGGAACAAUAGCUGCAAAUGGCUACUAAUAUCCAGUAGGCUGAGAAGCAAAAGGAGGAAUCUGCCAGAGGAGGGGCUCGCGUCCGAUUAGCUAGUUGGUGAGGCAAUAGCUUACCAAGGUGAUGAUCAGUAGCUGGUCCGAGAGGAUGAUCAGCCACACUAGGACUGAGACAGCAAUGGGGAAUUUUCCGCAAAGGGCGAAAGCCAGACGGAGCAAUGCCGCGUGAAGGUAGUAGGCCCACGGGUCAUGAACAUCUUUUCUUAGAGAAGAAGCAGUGACGGUAUCCAAGGAAUAAGCAUCGGCUAACUCUAUGCCAGCAAUCGUGGUAAGAUAGAGGAUGCAAGCGUUAUCUAGAAUGAUUGGGCGUAAAGCGUCUAUAGGUGGCUUUUAAACUCCACCGUCAAAUCCCAGGGAUCAACCCUGGACAGACGAUGGAAACUAUUAAGUUGGAGUUCGGUAUGAGCGUAGGAAAAUUUUGGUGGAGCGGUUAAAUGCGUAGAGAUCGGAAAGAACACCAACGACGAAAGCACUUUGUUGGGCCGACACUAACACUGAGAGACAAAAGAUAGGGGAGCAAAUUGUAUUAGAUACCCUAGUAAUCCUAGCCAUAAACGAUGGAUACUAUGCGAUGUGCGUAUCAACCCGUGCAAUGUUGUAGCUAACGCAUUAAGUAUCCCACCUGGGGAGUACGUUUGAAAUAAUGAAACUCAAAGGAAUUAACGGGGGCCCGCACAAGUGGUGGAGAUUGUGGUUUAAUUCGAUGCAAAGCGAAGAGCCUUACCAGGGAUUGACAUGCCGCGAAUCCUCUUUAAAUAGAGGGGCCUUCGGGAACGCGGAAACAAGUUGUGCAUGGCUGUCGUCAGCUCGUGCGGUAAGGUGUUGGUUUAAGUCUCGGAACGAGCGCAACCCUUGUGUUUAUUUGCCAACGUUGAGUUUAGAACCCAGAAAAGACUAUUAGUGAUAAGCCGGAGGAAGGUGAUGAUUACACCAAGUCAUCAUGCCCUUCAUGCCCUGGGCGACCUACGUCCUACAAUGGCUGGGACAAAGGGUCGUGAUCUAGCGAGUGUGAACUAACCCCAAAAACUCGUCCUCUAUUCGGAUUAUAGGCUGUAAUUCACCUGCAUAAAGAUGGAAUUGCUAUAAAUCGCCUGCCAGCCAUACGGCGAUGAAUUUGUUCCCGGGCCUUGUACACACCGCCCAUCACACUGUGGGAGCUGACCAUGCCCGAAGUUGUUACCUUAAUCGCAAAGAGGGGAAUGUCGAAGGCGGGCCUAGUUACUAGAGUGAAGUCUUAAUAAGGUAGCUGUACUGGAAGGUGCGGCUG
rnacentral:rRNA from 1 species